rnacentral:rRNA from 1 species
AUUGAACGCUGGCGGCAGGCCUAACACAUGCAAGUCGAGCAGGGUUUUCGGACCUAGCGGCGGACGGGUGAGUAAUGCGUAGGAAGCUACCCGAUAGAGGGGGAUACCAGUUGGAAACGACUGUUAAUACCGCAUAAUGUCUACGGACCAAAGUGUGGGACCUUCGGGCCACAUGCUAUCGGAUGCGCCUACGUGGGAUUAGCUAGUUGGUGAGGUAAUGGCUCACCAAGGCGACGAUCCCUAGCUGGUUUGAGAGGAUGAUCAGCCACACUGGAACUGAGACACGGUCCAGACCCCUACGGGAGGCAGCAGUGGGGAAUAUUGGACAAUGGGCGCAAGCCUGAUCCAGCCAUGCCGCGUGUGUGAAGAAGGCCUUCGGGUUGUAAAGCACUUUCAGUAGGGAGGAAGCGUUGUGUGUUAAUAGUACACAGCGUUGACGUUACCUACAGAAGAAGCACCGGCUAACUCUGUGCCAGCCGCCGCAGUAAUAC